UACGGAGGAUCCAAGCGUUAUCCGGAAUCAUUGGGUUUAAAGGGUCCGUAGGCGGUCUUGUAAGUCAGUGGUGAAAGCCCAUCGCUCAACGAUGGAACGGCCAUUGAUACUGCAGGACUUGAAUUAUUGGGAAGUAACUAGAAUAUGUAGUGUAGCGGUGAAAUGCUUAGAUAUGAUAUAGAAUACCGAUUGCGUAGGCAGCUGGCUGAACAAAUAUUGACGCUGAGGCUCGAAAGCAUGGGGAGCAAACAGG
rnacentral:rRNA from 1 species